UACCUCUGUUGCUUUGGCGGCUCCGGCCGCCAAAGGACCUCCAAACUCCAGUCAGUAAACGCAGACGUCUGAUAAACAAGUUAAUAAACUAAAACUUUCAACAACGGAUCUCUUGGUUCUGGCAUCGAUGAAGAACGCAGCGAAAUGCGAUAAGUAAUGUGAAUUGCAGAAUUCAGUGAAUCAUCGAAUCUUUGAACGCACAUUGCGCCCCUUGGUAUUCCGGGGGGCAUGCCUGUUCGAGCGUCAUUACAACCCUCAAGCUCUGCUUGGAAUUGGGCACCGUCCUCACUGCGGACGCGCCUCAAAGACCUCGGCGGUGGCUGUUCAGCCCUCAAGCGUAGUAGAAUACACCUCGCUUUGGAGUGGUUGGCGUCGCCCGCCGGACGAACCUUCUGAAC
rnacentral:rRNA from 1 species